rnacentral:rRNA from 1 species
AGGGUUUGAUCAUGGCUCAGAAUGAACGCUGGCGGCGUGCUUUACACAUGCAAGUCGAGCGAGGCGUCCCGCAAGGGACAGUCGAGCGGCGAACGGGUGAGUAACGCGUGGAUGACCUGCCUUGAGGUGGGGGAUAACUCGGGGAAACUCGAGCUAAUACCGCAUACGAUCGAGAGAUCAAAGGGGCGCAAGUCCCGCCACAAGAGGGGUCCGCGUACGAUUAGCUAGUUGGUAGGGUAAUGGCCUACCAAGGCGACGAUCGUUAGCCGGCCUGAGAGGGUGAUCGGCCACACUGGAACUGAGACACGGUCCAGACUCCUACGGGAGGCAGCAGUGGGGAAUUUUGCGCAAUGGGCGAAAGCCUGACGCAGCAACGCCGCGUGGAGGAUGAAGGUCUUUGGAUUGUAAACUCCUGUCAGCAGGGAAAAAGGCACCUGGCCACACCAGGUGAUUGAUUGUACCUGCAGAGGAAGCCCCGGCUAACUCUGUGCCAGCAGCCGCGGUAAUACAGAGGGGGCAAGCGUUAUUCGGAAUUAUUGGGCGUAAAGGGCGCGUAGGCGGCGUCUCAAGUGGAUGGUGAAAUCCCCGGGCUUAACCUGGGAACUGCCGUCCAAACUGAGAGGCUUGAGUCCGGGAGAGGUAAGUGGAAUUCCCAGUGUAGCGGUGAAAUGCGUAGAUAUUGGGAGGAACACCAGUGGCGAAGGCGGCUUACUGGACCGGAACUGACGCUGAGGCGCGAAAGCGUGGGGAGCAAACAGGAUUAGAUACCCUGGUAGUCCACGCUGUAAACGAUGAGUGCUGGGUGUAGGGGGUAUCGACCCCUCCUGUGCCGAAGUUAACACAUUAAGCACUCCGCCUGGGGAGUACGGUCGCAAGGCUGAACUCAAGGAAUUGACGGGGCCCGCACAAGCGGUG